AUAGCCACGGGAAACUGUGGGUAAUGCCGGAUGUUGUCUUCGGACUAAAGGUGUGAGCCCGCCUUGGGAGCGGACUGCGUUGUACUAGCUAGUUGGUAGGGUAAUGGCCUACCAAGGCGAUGAUGCAUAGCGGGCGUGAGAGCGUGGCCCGUCUCACUGGGACUGAGACACUGCCCAGACACCUACGGGUGGCUGCAGUCGAGAAUCUUCGGCAAUGCGCGCAAGCGUGACCGAGCGACGCCGUGUGCGGGAUGAAGGCCUUCGGGUUGUAAACCGCUGUCGUAGGGGAGGAAGGCUCCGUGAAGAACGGGGUUUGACCUAUCCUAGGAGGAAGGACGGGCUAAGUUCGUGCCAGCAGCCGCGGUAAUACGAACCGUCCAAACGUUAUUCGGAAUUACUGGGCUUAAAGGGUACGUAGGCGGCGCUGUCAGUCGGGUGUGAAAUCCCACGGCUCAACCGUGGAACUGCGCCCGAUACUGCAGUGCUUGAGGGAGACAGAGGUAAGCGGAACUGAUGGUGGAGCGGUGAAAUGCGUUGAUAUCAUCAGGAACACCAGUGGCGAAAGCGGCUUACUGGGUCUCUUCUGACGCUGAGGUACG
rnacentral:rRNA from 1 species